AUGAGGCUCCUGGUGCUUCUUGCAGCUUCUCUCUCCAUCCUCACCCUCCACAUUGCAGCGGUAGCCCCAGCAGAAAGCAUGGCCCCGGGCCGGCUGGAGCGCUGGGUCCGCUCAGGCCUCCAGUCGCUGCAGUGGGACCAGCUUGACCGGUGCCUCCGCAUGUCCUCCCUUUCUGAGGCCGAGUGCAGGCGGAUCGCCCACCUACCGUUGUCCGCGGUGGCAGUUUACGUAUCGGAGCCAUGCACAGCUGCAGGUAAUUCAAACAAAGUUCUGGCCAUCCUGCCCGACUCCUCGGGUGGCUCCAUGAGCUCCAAACCACGGGGAGGUUUCAGCCAGGUGCUGAAUGGAAGGGACGGUCAUCACAGACGCCAGCAGCCUUUCCCUGGUUCAACGGCCCAUGAUGCCGUGCUGGUGCUGGACCCGAGCCCCGGGGAGAACUUUGGACACCCAGUGGUCCUCUUCUAUGUGGAUGUGAAUGUGACGAAGAAGAGAUGCUCCCACCUCGAUGGCAUUUACCUGGGUGAGGAGUGUUUGACUCUGGCUUUGAAGGGUCGCUGUCAGAACCAGCUGAAGCGUCGGCAAGCCGGGCCAGAGAGGCUUAUGGGUAAUGGACAUGGUCGGCUGGCAGGUGGGGCGCUGCGCGGUAGUACCAUUACCACAAGCGGUGGCAGCCGUCUGGUGGAGCGAGCCGUUGGAGGGCUCUGUGAAGUCCACUUCCUUCCACUGGUGGUCGGAGUUGGAGACAGCAACCGAACGCAGAGACUCAGAUGUGUUGAACAUGCAGAGUUUGCAAGGUGCCCUCAGCCACUGCCACUGAGCUCUCCCAGCGUGCCGGUCUCCAGCUGUGAGCUAAAUAAAAACACCAGACGCUGCCACCAGCAGCCGUUGGCCACUCACCUCUCCUGCCGACUCUACCAGACCUGUGACCACUCUGUGCUCAUCUCAGGUGGCUGGCAGCAGCAGAUGACGUUCCAGCGUCAUGUCCAGAAUCUGCAGAGGUUCUACAGAAUGCUGCAGAACAACGGCUUCCACAAAGAACACAUCAAGACCUUCUUCGCCAGCAGUGGGCAGCUUCCUGAGGAUUUAGAGGGUGUGUACUCAGCAACGGAGAAGGCAGUGAUUCGUAACCACGUGUCGUACGUCUGCAGGAAGCAUCACUGCGCCGACACGCUGGUUCUCUACCUGAACUCACCAACACGCAAUGACGGCACAAUGCUGCUGUGGGACGCCAACCUCAACGGCAUUGCUGACCUGAAGGAGAGGUACUCAGUCAACGAGCUGCUGGCCGACCUGGCCGGCUGCAGGGCGACGCGUGUUUUGCUGUUUGUGGAUCAGAGCUACAGUGGCGUUCUGUCCAAGAGGCUGCGGGGGUCCCAGAAACACCUCAAUGUAGUUCUGAUCCAGAGCCAGACACGGCAGACCCACAACCACCAGAGGUUGAACUCUGGCUGGGAGGACAGCGGCUGGUCCUACAUCGGCCCUCAGAGCUGCCUGCUAGACCACCUGGGAAAGGGUACCGGGAUGUCUCGCCUCCUGGAGCCGUGGGCCGGCCUUUUAAACGUGACGCUGGCCGGAGCCCCCUGCAAUGCCACGCCGCCUCUGACGGAUGACGAGAUGCGACGAGAGUACCAGGGCUGCCAGAACCUGCCGACCGCGCUGUGGCACCGGAAACACAAGAGGACCAACUGAGAGAGAGAGAGAGAGAGAGACACUGAGACUGACUGGGAGAGGGAGAGAGAGAGAGAGAGAAAUUAAUUAUGGACACACAGACAGACCACUCACAAGUGUUUGCUUUACAAACAUGCAUAUUUGCAAGUGUGUGUUAACUUAAGACUUUAGUUUCAGUGUGCUUGGUGGACACUGGUGUGAGUGUGUGUGCUUUCUGUCCUAACUAUUCGCCAGUCACCAUGGCGAUGUCAGCUCAUCCCAACGGGAGUGUCCUGAACACCAUGUGAACUGUGUGUGUGUGUGUGUGUGUGUGUGUGUGUGUGUGUGUGUGUGUGUGUGUGUGUGUGUGUGAGUUCAGCAAAAGGACAACCACUCUUGUAGACCAUUGCUAGCUUACGCUUGCGUCAGUGUGUGUGUGUGUGUGUGUGUGUGUGUGUGUGUGUGUGUGUGUGUGUGUGCGUACAUCUCCUGGGCACUUAAAGAUUUCAGAGCCAAUCAUCGUUCUGUAUGUUUUCUGUAUCUUUAUAAGUGUCAUUUCUUCUUCCUUCUUCUCUUCGUUGUUUCCCUCUUCUCUUAAUUAUGUCCUUUGCUUCACCUUUGGUCGGCUACGUUCCUCCCAACCUUUCCUCUCUGGAUGUCCUCCUCUAACCUCCUCUUAUUUCUUCCCCUUCUCCAUGUCUCCUCUUUCUCUCCCUCUCUUCUUUAUUAAAUUUCCUUCUGUCUUUCUUUUAUUGGCAAUCACUUCCUUACUCCGUCCAUCAUUUCUUCCUCUCUUUUCCUUUCCUCUUCCUCGGCCUUUUUGGCUAGAAUAAUUUAGUCACAAGACAUCAGAACUUGCAAAACCCUUAGACAUGAUGUGAGUUUUGUGCAUUUAGAAUCCGUGCACAUGAAAACUCGAAUGAAAACACUACAAUCCUUUAAAAGAAAGCCUCUCAGUUAAAAGGUCCUGAGGUUAAGAUUGACUGACACUACUCUUGGAGAAUGGGGAAACGUCCAAGCAGAACUCUUCUAAAAGAAAUCCCCGAAAUGAACAAUCGGUCAUCCAAACUUGUGUCUCAUUGUGGUUUACACCUCUCUUGAAAACCCAAUCAGCCUGUUUAAUGAUAUUUCAUAUACUCUCACAACUUCAGUUGUCCUUUUUAUAAAGCAUCCAAAAGGAGAAAGGACAUACACCCUUCUAUUCUGCUGUCACUGUCUCAGUGAGGACGGUUACUACUCAACAAGAUUUCAUUUUGCUUGAGGCCGAACAACAGCAGCAGUUUAAUUAUUGUCAAGUCAAAUUAUAUUGGCCAACAGAAAACCUACAAAACAAACCUACUAGACUAAAAUCACAUUCAAGCAAAGUAAUGUCUGAGAUCAGGAAAUUAAUUUAGAAGAUUUAGAGACUUUUAGAGGUUUUUUGUAUUCGUCUUGACCUGAGGAAGCGAGAAAGAGAGAGACACGGACACAGCGAGGAAACAAGAGACAGAAACUGGUUGGCAGUGAUCAUGAUUAAGAUAUGAAGCACUGAGACUGCCCUCACUGCUACACAGACUGGCUAUGGCAUUUUAAUAAGGGCACAACUUAAGUGUGUGUGUGUGUGUGAUGCAUGUGUGUGUGCUCACAUGCACACGUUCUAAUAUUAACCCAUCUCUACACUAACAACGUACAUGUUCUCUGUGAUAUUGUCUGUACAUUACCUCCUGUCCUUUCUCCAUCUGAGUAGUAACCAUGUAUACCACGGCCCCAAUGUACAUGUCGUUCCCUUCCUGCUGUGUUUUGUACUGAUUUCUGUCCCGUUGUACUGAUGUGUCUUACAUUAAAGAUGUGUUUAUUCAAGAGAUGGACGUUGAUUGGGAGAGCAACUUUCCAAAUGCAUGGGACAUUGUGGACAAGAACUAUGUCCAACAAGUUGACAUGUGCAUAUUCACAGUUUGUGUAAUAAUCUGUACAGAGUAUAUCUAGUUGCAUGCAGCAAAUCACAAAAUCUAGUCAAUAAAGUACUUUUAGAAACCAGCGAAGAACGUGAGAUUU
rnacentral:lncRNA from 1 species